rnacentral:ncRNA from 1 species
CUGACGGGCGCGUACGGGUCAAUUGCGGCUUGCAACACCCGAUCUCGCUUGUCGUCCCUCCGAAAAAUGGAGGUCGACGAGGGGGAGCGCGUAACAGUCAG